UACGGAGGGUGCAAGCGUUGUCCGGAUUUAUUGGGUUUAAAGGGUGCGUAGGCGGCUUUUUAAGUCAGCGGUGAAAGUCCAGAGCUCAACUUUGGGAUUGCCAUUGAUACUGAAAAGCUUGAGUACAGUUGAGGUAGGCGGAAUUGACGGUGUAGCGGUGAAAUGCUUAGAUAUCGUCAAGAACACCGAUUGCGAAGGCAGCUUACUAAGCUGUAACUGACGCUGAGGCACGAAAGUGUGGGGAUCAAACAGG
rnacentral:rRNA from 1 species